GGUUAGAUAACAUCGCUCCGAAUAGCAAUGCAUUGGCUAAACUCGAUUUUUCUGAUUUUCGUAAUAUAUCUUGGUAAUUUUAUGAAGCUUUGCGUAUUUGCUCAAAAUGGACAGCCCCCUAACGAUGGAUUGGUUUUUGGAUCCCUAGCGGCUAAUACAACAAAUAAUGCAAAUCCAAAGACAACCAAUAACGAAGGAUCAAAGAUUCCAGUUGAAGCACGGUUUUGAACAGUUCAACUACCAAUGAAUAAUUUGAAACAAAUUAUUAAUUUUAUAAUGAUACAUAUGUUUUGCAAUUCCAGAUCGUGAAUCGGUAAUACUUGAUAACAGUUCGUGAGAUAAAAGUAAUAAACGACCUACAAUAUAUACCAGAAAAA